UACGUAGGGGGCUAGCGUUGUCCGGAAUCAUUGGGCGUAAAGCGCGUGUAGGCGGCCCGGUAAGUCCGCUGUGAAAGUCGGGGGCUCAACCCUCGGAUGCCGGUGGAUACUGUCGGGCUGGAGUGCGGCAGAGGAGACUGGAAUUCCUGGUGUAGCAGUGAAAUGCGCAGAUAUCAGGAGGAACACCUAUUGCGAAGGCAGCUCGCUGGGACGUUACUGACGCUGAGACGCGAAAGCGUGGGGAGCAAACAGG
rnacentral:rRNA from 1 species